AGUGAACGCUGGCGGUAGGCCUAACACAUGCCAGUCGAACGGCAGCACAGUAAGAGCUUGCUCUUACGGGUGGCGAGUGGCGGACGGGUGAGGAAUACAUCGGAAUCUACUUUUUCGUGGGGGAUAACGUAGGGAAACUUACUCUAAUACCGCAUACGACCUACGGGUGAAAGCAGGGGAUCUUCGGACCUUGCGCGAUUGAAUGAGCCGAUGUCGGAUUAGCUAGUUGGCGGGGUAAAGGCCCACCAAGGCGACGAUCCGUAGCUGGUCUGAGAGGAUGAUCAGCCACACUGGAACUGAGACACGGUCCAGACUCCUACGGGAGGCAGCAGUGGGGAAUAUUGGACAAUGGGCGCAAGCCUGAUCCAGCCAUACCGCGUGGGUGAAGAAGGCCUUCGGGUUGUAAAGCCCUUUUGUUGGGAAAGAAAAGCAGCAGGUUAAUACCCCGCUGUUCUGACGGUACCCAAAGAAUAAGCACCGGCUAACUUCGUG
rnacentral:rRNA from 1 species